rnacentral:rRNA from 1 species
AUGGAGGAGAACAAGGGAGCGGCGGCGGCGGUGCCGGAGAAGGAGGCGCCAGCGUCGUCGUACUUCAAGAACACGGUGGACGAGGGCGCGAGGUUGGUGGAGCUGGCCAAGGGCCAGUACCGGCAGUUCACCGAGGUGCAGGCGAAGGAACAAUGGGCGUGCAUCAAGAAGAAGGUCAGCUCCAUGCUCGCCGAGCCCAUCUUCGGCGGGUCCAAGGGCGACUCCAGCAGCAGCACGCCGCCGUCCGUCCACUCGCAGUAG